rnacentral:rRNA from 1 species
GACGAACGCUGGCGGCGUGCUUAACACAUGCAAGUCGAACGGAAAGGCCCUGCUUUUGUGGGGUGCUCGAGUGGCGAACGGGUGAGUAACACGUGAGUAACCUGCCCUUGACUUUGGGAUAACUUCAGGAAACUGGGGCUAAUACCGGAUAGGAGCUCCUGCUGCAUGGUGGGGGUUGGAAAGUUUCGGCGGUUGGGGAUGGACUCGCGGCUUAUCAGCUUGUUGGUGGGGUAGUGGCUUACCAAGGCUUUGACGGGUAGCCGGCCUGAGAGGGUGACCGGCCACAUUGGGCCUGAGAUACGGACCAGACUGCUACGGGAGGCAGUAGUGGGGAAUAUUGCACAAUGGGCGGAAGCCUGAUGCAGCAACGCCGCGUGCGGGAUGACGGCCUUCGGGUUGUAAACCGCUUUCGCCUGUGACGAAGCGUGAGUGACGGUAAUGGGUAAAGAAGCACCGGCUAACUACGUG